UGGGGAAUUUUGCACAAUGGGGGAAACCCUGAUGCAGCGACGCCGCGUGAUUUAGAAGGCCUUCGGGUUGUAAAAAUCUUUUCUAUGGGAAGAAAAUGACAGUACCAUAGGAAUAAGGACCGGCUAACUACGUGCCAGCAGCCGCGGUAAUACGUAAGGUCCGAGCGUUGUCCGGAAUCAUUGGGCGUAAAGGGUACGUAGGCGGGUAAGCAAGUUAGAAGUGAAAUCCUAUAGCUCAACUAUAGUAAGCUUUUAAAACUGCUCAUCUUGAGGUAUGGAAGGGAAAGUGGAAUUCCUAGUGUAGCGGUGAAAUGCGCAGAUAUUAGGAGGAAUACCGGUGGCGAAGGCGACUUUCUGGCCAUAACCUGACGCUGAGGUACGAAAGCGUGGGUAGCAAACAGG
rnacentral:rRNA from 1 species